rnacentral:misc_RNA from 1 species
CGUCAUUUCAACCCUCAAACCCCCCGGGUUUGGUGUUGGGGAUCGGCUCUGCCCUUCUGGGCGGUGCCGCCCCCGAAAUACAUUGGCGGUCUCGCUGCAGCCUCCAUUGCGUAGUAGCUAACACCUCGCAACUGGAACGCGGCGCGGCCAUGCCGUAAAACCCC